UACGUAGGGUGCAAGCGUUGUCCGGAAUUAUUGGGCGUAAAGAGCUCGUAGGCGGUCUGUCACGUCGGCUGUGAAAACCCGAGGCUCAACCUCGGGCCUGCAGUCGAUACGGGCAGACUAGAGUUCGGUAGGGGAGACUGGAAUUCCUGGUGUAGCGGUGAAAUGCGCAGAUAUCAGGAGGAACACCGGUGGCGAAGGCGGAUCUCUGGGCCAGUACUGACGCUGAGGAGCGAAAGCGUGGGGAGCAAACAGG
rnacentral:rRNA from 1 species